UCAUACGGACGGGCAAUCGCCGUAUACGCCGUUUUAGGUAUGCGGAGGAAAGUCCGAACUUUAUUUGCAAAAGAAACUGCACUUUGCGGCUAAGCCCUUUGUGCAGUUUUUUUAUGCUCAAAAAUGGUAGCAGGUAAUGCCUGCCGCAUGCGAAUGCAGAGGUGCGAGCAGAGACGCUUUUAGCGGAAACGCUAGGGUAUCCUUGAGGGUUUUCCCUUUAGGAUAAGUUUUUGCGGUAACGCAAAAGGUGAAACGGCUAAAUCCUUACCGGAAAGCAAGACAGUAGUUUUGUCGCUUGAUCAUUAAAAGCAAUUUUAAUGACAGAGAAAUGAUUGCCGUUUUAAUUGCAAAAUUAAAACACAGAAUUCGGUGUAUAGUCCGUAUGAAAUG
rnacentral:RNase_P_RNA from 1 species